CCUACGGGUGGCAGCAGUGAGGAAUAUUGGUCAAUGGUCGGGAGACUGAACCAGCCAAGCCGCGUGAGGGAUGAAGGUACAGAGUAUCGUAAACCUCUUUUGUCAGGGAACAAAGGCGGGGACGUGUCCCCGGAUGAGUGUACCUGAAGAAAAAGCAUCGGCUAACUCCGUGCCAGCAGCCGCGGUAAUACGGAGGAUGCGAGCGUUAUCCGGAUUAAUUGGGUUUAAAGGGUGCGCGGGCGGUCUGGUAAGUCAGCGGUAAAAGCCCGGGGCCCAACCCCGGCCCGCCGUUGAAACUGGCAGUCUCGAGUUGGAGAGAAGUAUGCGGAAUGCGCGGUGUAGCGGUGAAAUGCAUAGAUAUCGCGCAGAACUCCGAUUGCGAAGGCAGCAUUCCGGCUCCACACUGACGCUGAGGCACGAAAGCGUGGGUAUCGAACAGGAUUAGAUACCCUAGUAGUC
rnacentral:rRNA from 1 species